rnacentral:rRNA from 1 species
UGCGUAGGCGGCGCGGAAAGUUGGGUGUGAAAUCCCUCGGCUCAACCGAGGAACUGCGCCCAAAACUACCGUGCUUGAGGGAGAUAGAGGUGAGCGGAACUUAGGGUGGAGCGGUGAAAUGCGUUGAUAUCCUAAGGAACACCGGUGGCGAAAGCGGCUCACUGGAUCUCUUCUGACGCUGAGGCACGAAAGCUAGGGUAGCGAACGGGAUUAGAUACCCCGGUAGUCCUAGCCGUAAACGAUGAGCACUGGAUUGGAGGGUCCUCCAUAGCCUUCCAGUCGCAACGAAAGCGUUAAGUGCUCCGCCUGGGGAGUAUGGUCGCAAGGCUGAA